ensembl:lncRNA
ACAUUGUGUGCUUCAUCUUUUUGUGUCACUUGUAAAACCCAUGCACUGCGCUGGUAUUCUUCACUGAGUGGCUAGAGGCUGCAUUUAGGAAUGCCGUUACUUCUCGUGAUGUUUCCUAAUACUCUGGAGCCCUACAGGUAUGAGCUUCAAACAGGCACGAGACACCUCUGUCUCCAUCCACACAGUAGAGACUGGGACUAAUCGCAGCGGGCGCCACACACCUCAGGAAGUCGGUGUGGCAGGGUCUGCGCGUUGGGGCUUGAAUUAGGAGCGUUGUCAGCUUUUGUCAAAUGGAAAUGCAGCUCUACAGACAGACGCUGAUGCUUGAAGACACGGCAAGCCAAUCUACCAGCCUAAUUGCUGUACGGGACAGAGUUUAGCAGUUUGCAGAGUGAAAGAAAUACAGCCAGGAAACAAUCUUCCACCAUGGUAAUUACUGCUAAAUGAGGCUGAUGCGAAGCUGACCUGCUGUCUGGUUAGGGGUGUGGCAGAGUGCCCUAAACACAACGUCCAAUCACAAGUCUUCCCCCAAACCCUGGGAUCAACACUCAUCAUUGGCUGAAAGUCCCAAAUGCAUGCCAGACUUUUUCCAG